rnacentral:lncRNA from 1 species
GACAAAGAACCCACCGGAAGGAACCAAUUCUGGGCACAAUGGGGACGUACCCAGGAGAAUAGGAAACUUACAAAAUUGUUGGAAAUGUGAUUCUAGUGCCCAUUAUGUCACACUCUUGUGUUGUUUCUCUGAGAGUUGCACUAAGAAAGUUCAAAUACCUGUUGGCUUCCAUAGACUAAAUUCGGGCUGAUAACGAGAAAGGUUCCUGACCAAGGGGAGUAAAGGAGAUGGAAUGAAGCUUGUGUGCUGUACUUCAAGUCAUGCAUCCAGUACCAUUUUCCUGCACAUAAAGCGCUAUCUAUUCAUUAAGAUUUCUAGUUGCAGAGCUGGAUCCAUCCAUAAAAAGAACCAUUUUUCUAAUUUAUAGAAAGAUGUCUCAUGGCCUAGAAACAGGCCUUGAGCAAGAGCAAGCCCUGCCUUUCUCAUAUAGAAUAUGUACUGUUUUCUUAUAUAUAGCCUCUUUCUUUAAAUUUGAUAAGAUAAUUAUUAUGAAUCAAUUUUAUUACUUUGUUAAAUAUUAUAUUGUGCUUAAAUUAUAUAAUACGAUUUUUAAAUGAAUAAAUUUUAAAUAUAUUUUAAUAGAUAAAGUAAUAUGAAAGUAUAAAGUAUCAACAAAAGACAAAAUAAUAAGAGAAAAAGUUAAAAACUGAACUAGAACAUUACUAGGAAGUAUUAGGUAUAUGAAUAUAUAAGAAGAAAAGAGUCAAUGUUUACUACAUUAUUGAUAGUCAUGUUUACACGUUUUAAAAAAUCAGAUAAGUACACUGAAAAUAUAUCCACUUUUUACCUCUCAAUUAAAAAAAUUAGAUCUGUUAAAGGGAGUUUUAAAAUGAAUGAAAUGACACAUACAGACAAAUGAUGCAAAGUCUGUAACAUUUCCCGGCAACAGUGAGCAAGAGGUGUCUAGAGAUGAAAUACACUUACUCUCUUCUAUUUCUUCCCAUAUUAUCAAAACUAGGCCCUUGGCACUUGAGAUCCUCAUGUUAGAGGUGCCCAGCAAAGAAGCCUUUAUGCCCUAUCUUUUCUUCUUGUGCAUUUCCAAGUUGCAUCUGUGCAUUUAGAAUGAUGCAAAGUAAUAAAAGCAAAACAUCAAUAGCAGGCAGUAAAACAAAAAUUAGCGCCAAGAAAAUAGAAAGAGAAGAUAGCCACAAGUUAUAGGUUUCCAUUCCUGCCCAUGCCCUCUUGAACACUGGCAUUAAUAUUUGCAGUGUUACAAUAAAGUCGGACAGGCACAGGAUCUCUUUCCGGUUAGCUUACACAACUUUAGCCUCGGUAGAUUUUCAACAUAUUUGGGUAAUACGUUUUAAUUGAUCUCAGAACCAUCUAUGACAGACCCACAGCCAACAUCAUACUGAAUGGGGAAAAGCUGGAAGCAUUCUUCUUGAAAA